rnacentral:rRNA from 1 species
GACCAACGCUGGCGGCGUGCUUAACACAUGCAAGUCGAACGGAAAGGCCUUUUCGGAGGUACUCGAGUGGCGAACGGGUGAGUAACACGUGGGUGAUCUGCCCUGCACUCUGGGAUAAGCCUGGGCAACUGGGUCUAAUACCGGAUAGGACCGCACUUUAGUGUGUGUGGUGGACAGUUUUUUCGGUGUAGGAUGAGCCCGCGGCCUAUCAGCUUGUUGGUGGGGUAAUGACCUACCAAGGCGGCGGCGGGUAGCCGGCCUGGGAGGUUGGUCGGCCACAGGGGGUCUGUGAGACAGCCAAGAUUGCUACGAGAGGCAGACGUGUGGACCAUUGCACAAUGCGUCCCAGCCUGAUGCGACGACGCGGCGGGGGCGAUGACGCCAGUCAGCAAGUAAUCUCCUUUGGCCAGCGACGAAGCGUUCUGUGACGGAACUUCUUGAAGAAGAUCAGGCGGUCUAAGGU